AGAAUUUCAAAAAUUGUACUUUAUUAAAUAUUUGUGUCUAAAAUCAUACAAACCAGUAAUUACGAGUUACUACUACUUACUACUUACUACAAGUCUUCAUUUACUCUCUUUCAACGCACACACGGAGUGGUUUGUCAAUCACCUGGAGUGGCCAAUCAAGACCCAGACCACCCUUCUGGCCCCGCCCCAGUUCAGAAUGUUCCUGGAUCAAAGAGGAUUGCUCCAUGUGGUUUCAAACCAAUCCAACCUCUCCUGCCUGUCUGAUGGUCCUCCAGCUAAGGUGCAUCUAGUGUAGUUGUUCAAGUAGCUCAGUAUCGACUGCCCUGGUUGCUCCUUUUAGCCGGAGGGCUUGUUCUUCUUCAGGAUGUUAGGCUGCGUUUGAAGAGCCUCAGGUCUGAAACACGGGAACACAAGGUUUUAAACUCCACUAAUCUGUUGUUUCUUUUCUGUUUGUUUUCUUUUUUGAUCUGUAAAAAUAAUGUUUUCUGAUGUGUUAUCUGAUCUCUGGACUGUUUCUAAAACUAUGGGUGGAAAAGGUGAAGCACCCACAUCUGCCUCCACUCUUAUUUGCCUCAAUGUGGGCCCUUGAGCAAGGCUCUUAACCCUUGCUGCUCCCACGAGUGCCUUAGACAGCAGGAAGGAAAAACAAUUGCCAAGCUUGUAUGUGAGUUUGCUCACUGUGGCGACCCCUGAAGAAAAAAUAGAUAAAUCUGAGAACCCAUUAGUUUAACCUUUUCCCCAUAAAUCAAUAGAAAGUUGAAGCUGCUGCCACUGACUGAUUAGUGUUGCAGAGUUAAACCACACCCCAGAACCUUUCUCCUGCUGACAAAACUCUUAAUAAUACAGACAGACAGAUAUGCAAAGUAAAAAUAAAGUGUAGAAAAACUUUAACAUUUAACAAUGAGUUUUAAAACUGACUUAAUAAAACAAAUGUUUAAAGUUACAAAGGAUUUUCCAAAUUUUAGAAAGUAGUUGAACAGGAUCUGGAGGAAACAAACGUUUGUUUAAAUGUCCAGGAAUUCAGUUUGUGUUCCCUUCAUAAACUCAACUAAUAAAUUACAUGUACAUUAAAAUCCUUGUAUUAUCUAUGAGUAGUUUCAGUAUUAAUACUUAUCUCUAAUUUUUUAUUUGUCAACAAACGAAGAUUAAAUAAUUUUGUGAUUUACUUUGGUUCUACACAGCACGAAGUUGAAAUAAACAGUAUUCUGUUAAUUUGUCAUGCAGACAUUUAUAGCUUAAAUAACCACAUGUUUUGUGUGAUCGUCAGAUAAAAACACAUCAAGCAGACUGGACACUCUGAUGAUAUCUGCACUUGCUUGUUCUGUGUUUAGGGGUGUCUUUUGUGGUUGGUCCCUGUUUAGGGUACCAUAGUGCUGUGUUUAGGGUAUAAUUUUACUCUCUGUACAGGUCAGUGUUUAGGGCAUGAUUUGGAGGUCUUUGUUCAACAAUGUUGUUAAUAAUAUUAACAACAUUCCCCCUUGCUUUGUACUCUGAGGAUCUGUGAGAGGAAACCAAGUCUUUUAGCAGGGUGAUGUUCUGAGUGAAACGAUGAAAAUAUCUUUGUUAUUAAGCUUAAACUGGAUGAGAAGUGAGGUAAAGGUGCUUUAUUUGUCAUCAAUGCAUGUUCCUAUGCAUUUGACCCACCACACGUGAGAAACACCCAGGUGGAGCAGUGGGCAGCUAUGUAAGCACCUGGGGAGCAGUAGGGGUUAGAUGUCUUGCUCAAGGACACCACGACAUGUGGGCAUGGCGGGGAGUCGGACCUGUGACGUUCUGAUUCUAAGUUGGCUGCUCUACCACUACGCCACAGCCGCCCCCAGGUGUGAUGUUUGUAGCAGUACAAUUUCUGAAAAUUCAAACUAAGUUGAACAUUCUGUGGUAAAAUAUUCAAAAAUAAUAAAACCUUAACUAUGAUUGUGUAAAGAUAUAAAAACAAUGUCAGUUCAGUCAUUUAAAGUCCAACUUUCGAUGACUUCAGUUUUUUUUGUGAAGCUUGACUUAGCUCCAAACAGGGUUGGGUUUUCCUCCUUUUACCAAAACAUCAUUGUUAUUAAAAGGUUUUUAUUUAGCUUGAAAUUAGCUACAGCUACCAAAAGUCUGAUCAGGUUACUCUCUAUAGAUCUUUAUGUUUUGAUUUGUUUUUUGAAGGGGUUUGUUUAUUUUCUAGUUUUUUGUCAUGGUUUUUAAUGCAAUCACCUUCUACAGUGUUAAGUGUAACAUAUUUAAAGCAACUGUGUCAAACUUCACAUUUGUCCCGCAGGUGACUCUUGUCUGGUCUGCCGGGGGGAUAUAUGAAUGCAACAAGGUAAACAAAUUUAAAAGGUGAAAGAUAAUACUUGUCCCGUCCCUGAGCAGUUUAGUUGGAUAGCACAGUAAUAAUGUCUUGAAUAAGCUGCUUUAAAGCCAGCAUUAACCAUAAACUACAGCUCCCAUAAUGCAUGUGGAUUAUGCACAUUUUUCCCUAUAGGAAAAUAGGAGAGUUCAGAAUUUAAGAUGGCAGAUACUCACCACAACUCAUCAGUGAGUAAAAAUUUAAAUUUUUUGUAUUAUUUAUUUUACAUUUCAUCUGUCGUACAUGUAGUACUCUCCAGUAUUUUUAAGAGAACAAACACUAUUUCUAUGCAGGAAAUACCAGGUAGAGCUCAGUUAUUGUUUAUCAGCAGUGCUCAGCUGUAGCAAUGAGAUGAGGAACAUGAUGUUUCGUGUUUAGCUGAAGUUAAGUAUGAAACGUUGAAGUUAAUUACAACUGGCCCUUUGAGGGCCAACAUAACACUCAUGUGGUCCUCGGUGAAAAUGAGUUUGACUCCUUUUGAUUUAAAGAUUUGUUUAAAAUAUACUUGAUAUCUGUUGUUUGAGCUCAGUGUCUAAAAGGUUUCUCAGUGAGUUACAGACAUCCUGCCUCCUCGGUCACUUUGAGCUGAACAUGUUUCCGUCUCAGCAGUUCAAAAGUGCUCACAGUGCAGGUAGUGACCUCUGAACUACUGCAGUCUGAGCACUUCAGGUACUGCCGGUCGCCUCUCACACACUCCUCGCUCGCGCCUCAAGGUAAAACGGAGCUGAGUUUACAGGGAGCUUUGUUGGUUUGCUCUCAGCUUUUUUUUUUUGCUGCCAUCGCUGUGCAAAUCCAUGCAAAGCUCUCUGCACCUCAGACACACAGAGGUUUACUCUUGUUUUCUGCUGCUGUGAGCUUUGAAGAACACUUGAAAGGCUUCAAAAUGUCUGCAGGCGCAAGAGAAGCGAUGUUCUCCGGUUUGUAGCCAGCUGUGAUGUUUGUGCUACGUUAACACGUCCUUUGAAGCUGCUGUUUUCGACCAGAUGAGUCCAAAGUCAAGAUUUAUUUCUGGAGCACAUUAAAAACAACUGAAGCUGACCAAAGUGCUUUAGUCAACUAACUAAAAUGGUAAAACAGAACAGGAAAAAUCACUAUGCUCCUUUAAUAUAUUAGAACAAACUGUACUGUGCUCCUCAGACGAUGUGAUGUAGCUUCAUGUUUAUUACUGUUGGCAUCUGAAAUAAAAUCUGUACAUAAAAAGAAAACAUGAGAUUUUCCACUGAUUUGAAGUUCAGAUUGUGUCGUGGUUGUUGUCACAUAAAUUAAACACUAGAUGGCGCCAUUUCAACAUUAAUUAUGACAUCAGGCAACAUUAGACCUCCAGCCAUGAAGAUAAAACUGGUUUUACUUGUUUGUAUGGUUUAUUUUGUUAUUAUGCUAAUUAAUUGAUUGAAAAAUAAAAUUAUAAUUGUAAUGAAAA